rnacentral:lncRNA from 1 species
AAAAAAAUCUGUAGAAUCACGUGACCUGCACGUCUUUCAAAAAAAACUGUUACCUCUGCUUUCACCGAAGGAAACCCUAGGGUUUCGCUGCCGUCGCCGCCUCCCCGCCAGUGCCGCCGCCGGGCAUCCAACCAGAGCUUCCCCGCCCGUGCCGCUCCGCCUUCGCCGCCUCCGCCAGUGCCGCUUCCUACCGCCGCCGAGAUCCGCAGUCGUCCGAGAUCGUCUUCUCCAUCAUCCGAGCCCGCGCCGUGCCGCUACGUUGUCCAGACCAGCUGCGACGCCACCGAUCGAGGUGCCUCUUCCCCGCGGCCAACCACAGCGCCGCCCGAACCAGCCGCGACGCCGUUGGGCAGCCGGCAGACCACCCGAGCUCCGCCCGCUUCCUCCGAGCGUCAUCGUCUCCCUCCCCACCGAGCCGCGCCACCACGCCAAUUCCGUCACACGCCACGCCCACCUCCAUUUGCCGCUGCACCAGACCGCCGCCUCCACCUUCUCCUUUCCCCUCCGC